ensembl:lncRNA
AACGUCAGGUACCAUGGUUGAAUCAACGUUGAAUUACCUUUCGAUUUUGCAAAUUGGAUCAACGUUGAAAUCACAACGUUGAUUCACCGUUGAAAUCGCGACGCUGUUUCACCGUCUUACCUGCAUUACGGGUAAAUUAGGGUCGUGCUGCAGACCUGGGAUGAAAGCUGAAUGAGGUGUUGAUUUUGAAAAGUUAAUCCACGUUGAUAACACGAUGUUGUUGCCCCGUCGUACCUGGCACCGUGUAUAAAUACACCUAGAUCCUAGUUGGCAUUUAGAUCAACACUGUACAUGCAAGGCUAAAAAUCUAAUGACUGGCAAGCAAUGGCUUUACAAUCAACUUCAAAAAACUACCACAUGCUCAAAAUUGUCAAACAGCAGUUUAAUUUUGGAAACAUACUGUAUAAAACAGAUGAAAAUAAUCCCACACUUUAUUAUGCAGAGUAUGCAUGGAGGUAUUGAUAAAAACCAUGUAGUAGAACAAUCCAAAUACAAUAAUAUUUAAAGGUUUUUGUAAAAUAAUUUGGCACAUAAAUGCAUAUUUUUUGCAGCCCUUACAAGACAAACCCUUGUACCUUUAUGACUGAAACCAGUGGAUCUUUUAUUUUGGUGGAAAACUACAGUUUCUGUCAAAACAUGUUUUAGUAAUGUGUCUGAUUACAAGAGAUGUGUACAUUUGUGCAGUGAAAAUGUGUUGCACAGUUCGAGCAGGGAACCUUCAACCAGUUGAUUUCUAAUGGGAACCCCCCCCCCUACCGAAGGGGACUCUAAAAUGUUAGAACCAACAGCCUCGUACAUACAGUGUGGUUGUGCUUCAGGUGAUCCUUGAAAGUGUCCCAGCGCUAGGUCCAUUCUGACGCCGUCCUCUCCACUCUCUCCCACUUGUGCACUUUCUGUACCGUCCUGUAUAAACAUUUACAUUUAAUCAUUUAACAGACGAUUUUAUCCAAAGCGACUUACAAAUGAGAACAAUAGAAGCAGUCAGGUCAACAAGAGAACAACAACAGUAUACAAGUGCCAUGACAAGUCUCAGUUAGUCUAGUACAGAACGCAUAGCCAGACAAGAAAAGAAGGAAAAGUGCUAGCAUUAGUUGGUUAAGUGCUGGUGAAAAAGAGUCUUAAGAUGUUUCUUGGGGAUGUGCACUGAGUAACAUGAUGGCCUUAGUGUCUGAUAUGUAUCUUUUUGCAUAGUAUAAAAAUCAUCUGCAAGUCCGUGAUCUCUUUGUACACCGAUUCAAGCCUUGUGUAAA